rnacentral:rRNA from 1 species
GACGAACGCUGGCGGCGUGCUUAACACAUGCAAGUCGAACGGAAAGGCCCGGCGCUUGUGGGGUGCUCGAGUGGCGAACGGGGGAGUAUCACGUGAGUAACCUGCCCUUGACUUUGGGGUAACUUCAGGAAACUGGGGCUAAUACAGGAUAUGAGCUCCUGCUGCAUGGUGGGGGUUGGAAAGUUUCGGCGGUUGGGGAUGGACUCGCGGUUUAUCAGCUUGUUGGUGGGGUAGUGGCGUACCAAGGCUUUGACGGGUAGCCGGCCUGAGAGGGUGACCGGCCACAUUGGGACUGGGAUACGGCCCAGACUGCUACGGGAGGCAGCAGUGGGGAAUAGUGCACGAUGGGCGGAAGCCUGAUGCAGCAACUCCGCGUGCGGGAUGACGGCCUUCGGGUUGUAAACCGCUUUCGCCUGUGACGAAGCGUGAGUGACGGUAAUGGGUAAAGAAGCAACGGCUAACUACGUG